rnacentral:rRNA from 1 species
GGGUCAUUAGGUUGGUCGUGCCACCGGUACGUACUGGUCUCACUGAUUCCUCCUUCCUGAAGAACCGUUAUGCCAUUAAUUUGGUGUUGCGGGGAAACAGGACUGUUACUUUGAAAAAAUUAGAGUGUUUAAAGCAAGCUAACGCUUGAAUACAUUAGCAUGGAAUAAUGAAAUAGGACGAUCGAUCCUAUUUUGUUGGUUUCUAGGAUUGACGUA